rnacentral:lncRNA from 1 species
UGAAAUGAAGUUUCAUUCCUCCUGAACACAUGAAAUUCCAAUAUUUUAACAUUUUUGGGCUUCAGGCAAGGAGGUUCAAACAAUAUUUGAUCAUAACAUAUUGCUAUAGUCUUAAGAAAAAAAUGCUUUAGAAAAUAUUGUUAAAUUUUGUGUAUUUGAUCAUAUAACAAGUCCUCAUCCUCCAUCACAACAUUACCUACAUGUAUAGCCAUAUUGAAAUUCAUACAGGUAUUAGGUAUAAUGAUUGGUACAUGUAAUUUUUAAAAAAUGCAAACUUUCUUUUUGUGUGAUUUAGUUUGAACUGUCAUCAUUCUCCAUUUCUUAUUACAUGUAGUCCUUAUAACUUGACAAUUGAAAAGGUAGUAUGCAGUAAGCAUGACCUGAGAAAUAAUGAAUCUAAGUAAAAACUGAGAGCAUACAAAGAAACAUUUUAAUCAAGUAUACCCAAUGAUUCUUACAUUUUCUAUACAUUCAUGUGCUACAGAUCCUAGUGGAAAUGAAAAUCUACAAGCCAGUGGUCAUGAAUCUUCCCCAGAGAGCCCCUGUGAAGGCACUGUUCCUAGCCCCAGAGCCAGAGGUAAAGCUUGAAAAAUGUUCAAUAUACAGCCUUGUAUACAAACAUGGUAGAAAAUGCUCUUUAACAGUUUUUACUCUUUCUUUUCUAAUAGUUACUCCAACAGAAAAUAAAGCAUAUUACAUUCAUUCAACUGUUACAAAAAUUUUAAAUAAAUGAAUUAAUUAUAUUUCGUAUUAAAUGAUGUACUGCACAGGUUCUUGUAAACCCCCAAGAUUACAUUAUAGUAUGUGUAUUACUGUACUGUUUUUUAUUGCAAGAAAUUCAAUGAAAUCUAGCAUUCAUAAACUUUUCCUUUUGACCUAUUACAGACCUAAAAUUUAGAUUGCAUGUCGGAAGAAAUACUUCUCUUUGAUUUUUUAUGUUAGAUUUUUCCCCUUUGAUGCAACAUAUCAUGUUAUUAAUCAUAGUAAAAUGUGUGACACAUGGAUAAACAAUUAUCCAGCAACCCUUAGGUGGGCAGAGCCAUAACAUGGAAUGUAAUAUCAAGUCCAGCAUGGGUGCACCAAUGGCAAAUAAGGUUUUGGCCAUUUCCCACACAGUUAAUCUCUAAUUUCUUUGCUCUAUUGCAGGAUUUUAAAUUACCUAUGACAACACACAAAAAAAUAUAGUGAGGCGACACGAAGGUAGUAAAAAGGCCCAGGAUGGGAUUAACAUAUGGACAACGAUAUUUGCGGCCGAAGAUAUGGUACCAUUUACAGAUACUUGUGAUGAUACCACAAUUCCUGCCCUAUAAAUCCCAUUGGAGCACCUCCUCCAAACAAAACAGGAUCUUAGUGCACUGCACAAAGCCAUGCUGUUUCAAAUACAGAGGGUCCACUUAAAAGUUAGAUCUCGAUUUGAUUCUGGAUUGCCAUCGUCUUCAACAGUGAGUCUGGCCCCAAGCCAUGGAAAAAAAGAAAUUGUGGCACUCGCUGCAAUGCAGGAGGUUGCAGCAACACCAGCUUUGAUAGGUUUUUUGUCCAUCCUAUGCCAGGGAAAGUGCCUACAUGUAUAGCCAUAUUGAAAUUCAUACAGGUAUUAGGUAUAAUGAUUGGUACAUGUAAUUUUUUAAAAAUGCAAACUUUCUUUUUGUGUGAUUUAGUUUGAACUCUCAUCAUUCUCCAUUUCUUAUUACAUGUAGUCCUUAUAACUUGACAAUUGAAAAGGUAGUAUGCAGUAAGCAUGACCUGAGAAAUGAUGAAUCUAAGUAAAAACUGAAAGCAUACAAAGAAACAUUUUAAUCAAGUAUACCCAAUGAUUCUUACAUUUUCUGUUCAUUCAUGUGCUACAGAUCCUAGUGGAAAUGAAAAUCUACAAGCCAGUGGUCAUGAAUCUUCCCCAGAGAGCCCCUGUGAAGGCACUGUUCCUAGCCCCAGAGCCAGAGGAUUUCGAAUUACCUAUGACAACACACAAAAAAAUAUAGUGAGGAGACACGAAGGUAGUAAAAAGGCCAGGAUGGGAUUAACAUAUGGACAAUAUUUGCGGCCGAAGAUAUGACACCAUUUACAGAUACUUGUGAUGAAACCACAAUCCCUGCCCUACAAAUCCCAUUGGAGCACCUCCUCCAAACAAAACAGGAUAGUGCACUGCAUAAAGCCAUGCUCUUUCAAAUACAGAGGGUCCACUUAAAAGUUAGAUCUCGAUUUGAUUCUGGAUUGCCAUCGUCUUCGACAGUGAGUCUGGCCCCAAGCCAUGGAAAAAAAGAAAAUGUGGCACUCGCUGCAAUGCAGGAGGUUGCAGCAACACGAACUUUGAUAGGUUUUUUUGUCCAUCGUAUGCCAGGGAAAAUGACAGCAGAGCUGAGAGACAGAUUCAAUAGCACCCAGAAAUCCUGAAUGGACUUUAUCAGGUGCAAACGCAAAUUUGAAGCAAGAUCAUACAAAUAUAUUAACCUGUGCAGUGGACUUUUCAUGGAAGAGGAUUAUGAAUAUACUGAGGUUCAGAUGCAUAAACAUGGAAUUAAAAAAAAAACUCCCAACCUAAAAAAAGGAUACUGUGACGGAAUCACUAAAAAAAUAAAUUAGCAAGACUUAUGUAACAAACAAAGUGUGACGUCAUAAUGCACCAUUUUUGGUAGCGUCUUUUAGUUAGUACUUUCUAUUGUGACGUAGCACUGGUCAUGGCUACUUCUGGUCAGAAACCAUUAGCAACGCGCCUAAAUUGCGUAAUCAAUAAAAUGCGCGUUCCAUUUCUUGCUCCAUAAAAGUUACUUUUUAUAACGAAGAUUACCAUUGAUUCAGAUAAAGAUUUGUUGUGCACAGUACCGAGAGCGUCAUUUUUGACAGACAUAUUUUUCUGGACAAGUGGGCAAACCUUUCAAGGUAAUUUAAUCUUUAUUUCUCCAGUAAUAUUUGCUGACUAUUUUAGGAGAAGAAUAUUUACCAUAAUGAUUGCUGAAUGUGAGAUUCCAAAUUAAUUAUCUUGAUUCUCUAUUUUUAAAGUUUUAUAGGAGAAAUUGAGUCACAUAAAGGUUGUUUGAAGUUGCGUCAUACUAUAUUCUCAUUUUGCCAUUACGGAAAGAGGUUUAUUCUAUGUUGCGUUCAGUCGAAUUUUCAUGGUGCGUCAGUAUGCGCAUUAGAGAUGUUUGUUUUUGUUUUAAACCAUAAAUGUGUGAAAUAUUUGCCAAUGAAUUUUGGUAAAUUUUAAAAGAUGCCAUUAUUGGUCAGUUUUUAUAUGCCAAUAUUUUCGUCAAGUUGAAAAGAUGCCAAUAAUACUUGGUCAGUUUUUAUAGGCCGAUAUUUUCGUCUAGUUGAAAAGAUGCCAAUAAUACUUGGUCAGUUUUUAUAUGCCGAUAUUUUCAUCAAGUUGAAAAGAUGCCAAUAAUACUUGGUCAGUUUUUAUAUGCCGAUAUUUUCGUCAAGUUGAAAAGAUGCCAAUAAUACUUGGUCAGUUUUUAUAUGCCGAUAUUUUCGUCAAGUUGAAAAGAUGCCAAUAAUACUUGGUCAGUUUUUAUAUGCCGAUAUUUUCGUCAAGUUGAAAAGAUGCCAAUAAUACUUGGUCAGUUUUUAUAUGCCAAUAUUUUUGUCAAAGUUGAAAAGAUGCCAAUAUACUUGGUCAGUU